rnacentral:misc_RNA from 1 species
UUUCCGUAGGUGAACCUGCGGAAGGAUCAUUCAUAAUAAAGUGUUUUAUGGCACUUUUUAACAAUCCAUAUCCACCUUGUGUGCAAUGUUAGAUCUCGUCAAUCUUGGCGAGAUUUUUAUACAUCAACUCAUUCUUUAACUAAUUUGUCUGAAAAAUAUUAUGAAUACUUAAUUCAAAAUACAACUUUCAACAACGGAUCUCUUGGCUCUC